rnacentral:hammerhead_ribozyme from 1 species
AUUCGGCUGACGAGUUCCAAAAUAGGACGAAAUGCUCAUCCUGGAU